CCGGAAGAGCACAACCACCGGAGCCACUCGCAAAGAGAAAACCACCGGAGCUAGGAUGUUAUGUUCCACACAUGAACCCGAGCCUCUUCCUAGCCGCGACUAACUGGAAAGGAUGAAGACUCGACAUGGCCAAUCACUGAGAACCAGAGAUAAUGACCGGCUUGAACCCGGGUCGAGAGCAAAGAGAACUGAAACGGAACAGCCGAGAGCAGGAGACCCGGUUUCGACGGUGAUUCUCCGCGACGAAACACCCUGAAAGCAAACUUGGAACGCCGUGGCCGGAGAAGAAGCAAGGAGGAAUCGCCCCAAACACGGGAGAGGAACAGAGCCAUAGACGACACGCCCCUGAACUCCGAUCUGGAGCAACACGCGCCGCCACCAAACUCGUCGGAACGACACGCGCCGUUAACCGAAACGAACUUGCACGCACCUUUGUGGAGAGCCCACUCCGAACCUCCUGAGAUCAUAAGCUCGGAUCUUUUCAGACUUAUAAAGCAAACGCACGGGAGCUCUUACGAAGCUUUCAUGAAUAGCAAGUUGAUUCCAGUAGUUGGAGAUAUUGGAGAAGACAAUCUUGGCAUAACAUCUCAAAUGGCAUGCAAUAUUAGUGAUGAGAUUGAUGUCAUCAUAAGUUGUGCUGGUCGUACAACAUUUGACAAUAGGUUUUGUUUCCCUGUUUCUUUUUCUUGCCAACCAAGUUUUGGUUUCUUAAUUUUUCUUUUAAUCCAAACAAACCAAAACAGAUAUGACUCUGCUUUAAACGUCAAUGCUCUUGGACCUGGUAGACUAUAAGCUUCAGAAAGGGAUGCAAGAAACUGGAACUUUUUCUCCAUAUUUCAACUGGUAAGAAGAGUCUAUGUUUGGUCAAGAAUGUUUCUUUAACGGGAAGUCUCACAAGCUGGCUUUCUUUUUUUUAUAGCUUAUGUGACUGGUAAUGAAGAAGGAACUAUACUAGAGACUCCUCUCUGCAUUGGAGAAAACAUAACUUCUCACAAACAUUGAAACCGAGAUGAAACUAGCUUCAGAAGCUUUAAGAAAGUUCUAUGGCAGAGAAGAAAUCAAGAAACUGAAAGAACUUGGCAUGGAAAGGUGAUGAUCAAUGAUAAAAAAAAACAUUCACAUGCUCAUGUACUACUAUCAUAAAUUUUUUAAAAUAUUUUGACUAACCAGAGCUCAAUAUUAUGGCUGGGAAAACACUUGCACAUUCACAAAAGCUAUGGGUGAGUGUGUAAUUCACAACCAACGAG